UAGGAGUCAAUUGAAGAAUUACACAGGGGUCAAAAUUAAAAAUGCACAAAUCAUUUUGAAAACUACACCACGUUAUUUGUCUGAUCGUAAAGAUUCCAAAAAGUAUAGUUUGGACUAUUAUGACUGAAUGUUCGGGAGUUAUGGGGUGUAAACAGCAAAAAUGGUGACAAAGGUCGUUUCAGUUUGUACAGGGGUCAAAAGUCAGUUUAAGGUUGUAC